rnacentral:misc_RNA from 1 species
AGAGUAUACAACUCAUCAACCUGUGAACAGUACUUAAUCGUUGCCUCGGCGGCGCCCAGACCGGCCCUUGUAACGGGGCCGCCCCGCCAGGGGCACUGACUCGUUAUUAUAAUGUCUUCUGAGUAUACAAUUGCAAUAAUUAAU